GAUUUCGUAAGUAUUUUUAUUAUUAGUAAUUUUUUAAAAUAUUUAUGGGGAGUGAUACGCUUUCGUUUUUUAGGUUAUCUAAUUUAUUUUUUUUGAUAGGGAAAUCUUGUUAAUAAUUUUUUUUGGAGGGUUGGAGUAUUUUUUUAGUAGUAAAUGAUUGUGUAAUAACUUUGUUGUUUUGUUUAUUUAGGAAUUUUAUGUAUUUUUUUGAUUAUAAGAAUUAAUUAAUAGAUUAGUAGAUUUAUUUAGAUGGUAUUAGGUUUUUUAUUGUUAUUUGAAGUUGGUAAUUAUUUUUAUUUGCUGAUUUUUUCUUAGACUGGUUAAUAAAAUCUUAGCUACAAAAUUUGUAGUUAUUUCUGCUCUAUGCUAGUUUGUAAAUGGCUGUUUUUGACACUAAGGUAGCAAAAUCAUUAGUUAUUUAAUUGGUAACUUGUAUGAAUGAAUUUUCUAAGAAGAUAUUAAUUUUUUUUUUGAAUUUAUAAAUUUGUUGAGAAUAACAAUUUUACCCGUAAGACUAAAAGACCCUAAAAUUUUUAUAACCAGGAGGGGUUAUUUGGUUGGGGCAACAAAAGAAAGUCAAUAUUUAGUAAUUUAUUUUUUCUUGAACUUUUUUUAAUGAUAAGAAGUUAAAAUACUUUAGGGAUAACAGCUUAAUUAUUUUUAAAAGUUCUUAUUGUUGGAAUAGUUUUAGACCUCGAUGUUGGAUUGAAAAGGCUUUUUGGGGCAG
rnacentral:rRNA from 1 species